rnacentral:lncRNA from 1 species
CUCAACUUUCAAAGGAGAUAAAACAUGUAGUCUCAUCUGAUUUUUUUUCUUUCCUGAUAAAUUUAAUUCACAUAGUUUGACAGACUCAAUUAUGCACAUGAAUCACCACAUGGGAAAACAAAGAAUUACUUGUAGUUCUUCUUUUAUUUUGUACAUUGGCAAUGAAUUAUUCAUAUUUUCAUAUAACUUUGUAUAUUCUCCAGUCAAUAAAAGUUCC